rnacentral:rRNA from 1 species
GACGAACGCUGGCGGCGUGCUUAACACAUGCAAGUCGAACGGAAAGGCCCUGCUUUUGUGGGGUGCUCGAGUGGCGAAAGGGUGAGUAACACGUGAGUAACCUGCCCUUGACUUUGGGAUAACUUCAGGAAACUGGGGCUAAUACCGGAUAGGAGCUCCUGCUGCAUGGUGGGGGUUGGAAAGUUUCGGCGGUUGGGGAUGGACUCGCGGCCUAUCAGCUUGUUGGUGGGGUAGUGGCUUACCAAGGCUUUGACGGGUAGCCGGCCUGAGAGGGUGACCGGCCACAUUGGGACUGAGAUACGGCCCAGACUCCUACGGGAGGCAGCAGUGGGGAAUAUUGCACAAUGGGCGGAAGCCUGAUGCAGCAACGCCGCGUGCGGGAUGACUGCCUUCGGGUUGUAAACCGCUUGCGCCUGUGACGAAGCGUGAGUGACGGUAAUGGGUAAAGAAGCACCGGCUAACUACGUG